rnacentral:lncRNA from 7 species
AUAUACAACCAGAAGCUAAGACUUCUUAUAGCUACCAAAUAUUUUACUGAGAUUUUUCCUCUGACAUUACAUGAAUGGCAGCAUGAAGAACAAGCUCUGUCUCCCAGUGAUAGAACAGCUCUCGAGGAGUGGAUGAAAGUGAAUCAGCCUGUCUAGUGUGAGAACAGUGUUUGAAUUUGGGAAAGACCUCCUUCCAGAAGACAGAUAUUGAUCUAGCAAAGUGGCAAUGACAAAAACAUGGCCCCUUCCAACUACCUUAUUUCUGGACAAAUUUCCACAGUGACAGACUUAAUAGAUCUCAACACACACAACUCCUAGAAGAUGCAACACAUUUCCUUUAAGUUACACAGAAAAGUACUAAGAAGACCAUCCAUUCCCUUAAUCCAUCUUCCACCUGUACGAACAAGCAGUGGAGAAAAUAGCUUGAAUCAACUCUAAACCUUACACAGAACUGGGAGCAAAGACUUGUACCUCAAUUGUCUACUAAGCAUUCAGGAGGUGGAAAGAAGAUAGAAAGAAGAAUACAGUUUCUUUAAAGAGCCUAUGAAAGAUGAUAGAAACAUAAGCUUUCUGAGGGGAAUGAAAAUAGCAGAAGAAAUUUCCUCUGUCACCAGUAGGCAAAUAUUCAGUAAGUGGGAUAGUUUCAUGUGAUAUGCCUUGCAAAUAUUAUCUAUUGCCUUGCUGGCAAUACUGAAAUUUCAAAUCUCUUAUUCCUGAGAAAGUAAUGAUUUAAUAAAAUGUAUCAAUUU